CGACAACUAUACAUGUCUGUGUGACGUCAUUGCUUUCGUCAAUACGUCAUUAAGAAAUGAAAAUUGAAACUGACAUACUCUGGUGGAUGUUUACAUUGUUGAAAUUUAAUAAAUUAAUGGAAUGCACUCGAUUGAAGCUGCUCUGUCAAAUGCUGGACUUCACACAUUCCAUGCAGCAUUCUUCUGAGCAAAACUGACUGCGUGCUUUGUACUCAACAACGAAGCAAUUCUGGACCUAUAAAGCUUGACCGGGACUGAAACAUUAGCAUUUGUGACUCUGUAAUGUUCAACGUAAGUGGACUGUAAAGAAACUGCAAUUUUUGUGAAGAGACUCUGUAUGUCUGUAAGCAAAAAGAAUAUACAGCAUAACAAAUAUCAGGUGUGAAAACAAUGUGAAAGAAUAGUGAAAUUAACAAUUUGCAAUCAGGCAUGUCAAAUGAAUUGUUGAUAUUAAAAAUGAUAGUUCCCAGGCAGCUCUAGACGGGUUUUUCUGUAUUUCUAUUACUAGUAUUAUUUCAUAAAAUGUAUGACACAAUUAAAAAGCACACUCUGUUUAGAGACCAUUGUGUUGUCUCAUUGUGUUAUGAUGACUUUGAGUAAUACAUUGUACAUUAAACAAUAUCUACUAAGUGGUAUUUAAGUAUAAGAUUUCUUGUUUAUUAUAUAAAUGAAUGUUAAUUUUUGCUUAAAUAUAAAUGUGCAUAAUGCAGUGUAUAAUUGCAGUGCCAGUAGCACACUUUGCAAUAUUUUUAUUACAAAAGAGUGUGUUGUACACUUGAACUUAUACCUAUAAUUAAUAAUCCUUGCCUAAAAAUUCAUUUGACACACCUGAGACCAUGUUGUGUAUUACCAUUAUUAUUUUGCAUAUUAUGCUGACACUUUGAAAAAAUUGCAAAUAAGCGAAAAGCAGUAAUUUAGUCUUGCCAACUGUCUCUGAUGAAUUUUUUGAAGACCAUAUAAGAAGCGAAAGUGUAGGAUACGGUAUUCAUUUUAUUUGAUGACCUCUUGUUAUUAUUUCUUCAUAGAAGGCGUACUGGAUGAGUGAAGUAUUUUUUUUGGUUCUACAUCUUUGAUGAAGUCAACUCAUUGACAUUUAGUGCCAUGACUGAGCGUGUUUUUGAACUAACAAACGCGUGGUAGGAACUUAUCCGAAUAUAUGCAAACUCAUAACAGUGUGUCUAAUACUAUAUGUGUUGAGUGCACAGAAACAAGGGCGAGAAGAUAAGGGUAUAAAUGAACAUACUGAAUGUUUUAUUUUGUUUAUGAGCUUGAACAUACACAAACUUGACUUUAAUCAAUUGGGAUGUACAUGCAGUUUAAUAAUCGGGUUGUUAUUUUAUAAUCAUAUUCAUGUGGAAACUGCCUCAUUCACAUGCAAUACGCAGCUGCUGUCUAUAUGUUUAAUGCUACAUUCCAUAAUGACUGAAUAUCUUUACUUUCAAAACAUGAAAAUAAAUUAAAUGAAAUGAAAAUAAACGAAAUAAUGAAAUUAAAUUCAGGUGAAAAAUAUUUGAUUAUAUUUUAUUUAAAUAUGGUUUGGUAAAUUAUUUACUAGUAAAACAAUUCUUGUUGAUAACAGUAAAUUCGUGAUAAUAAGUAUGUUGUUGUUUAUUUUUUGUCUCACACAUAAAGUGACAGGUACACUCAUAUAUUUAGCGUUAAGCUUAUGAUAUGGGUCUUCAUCGUAAAUCUAAAUUUUUGCUACUAGUAUUUUCUCCUUUGCACCAACCUAGUAAUGUUCAAUCUGUGUAUGCCAUAAGCGAUAGUUUUUACCAACUGUUAAUUCCUGAGGAUUCAGAAAAAUACAAUAAGUUUACCACAUUUCAUGACAUAAGCUCUAACAGUGCGGAAGAUAUGCAAAGAGUAUUGUGUCCAAAGCCAAAGGUGAUAUUUCUGGUCUGUGUAAUUUUGCGCAGUGAAUGAGGUCUAUGCACUUCUUUCAAGAUAGAUGCAAACACUCUCGCAAGCAUUGUUGCAUGCAUAUGUUUAUUAACAUUAAUUAAGUACAAAAAGGUUUUCAUUUACAUAUGCAGGGGAUACAUUUACGAUGUCGAUGAUUUAGACAUGGGACCAAAAUAAUGAAGUACGGCACCUUUCUUUUUUAUGCUUAAGUUAAACAAAAUCGUUUUAGAAAUAAUCUCGCCUUAAAACAUAAAUGGCAUCCCUGCAUAUGGAAAACAUCAAUAAAACACAGUUUCGCGAGAUUUUGUUGAUUUUUUUUAAAUUCAGUAUUCUAACAUUGUUUUUAAAAGUAAACAAAAAAUGAAAUACAUGUUUAAGAGUUUGAAAACAAUACAAGGGGUUACAAUACAUAAAGCAUAGCUUCAUAAAAUUGUUUAAGAUUAAAACAAAUGAUAUUUUAUUGCUUUGCUAAAUUACAUAUUGUUUUGUUAAGAAAUUGAAUGUUUUGUUGCAUGAUAAUGUGCAGACAUAUAUUACCCGUGUUAUCUUAAACAAACAUCAAAUAAGCUUUUGCCCGUAAAUUAGGUAGCACCUAUUAUCAUAUUAUCUUUCUUAUAUACAGGGGAAACAAAUGCAAUAAGUUUAAAUUUCAUGAUUAAUAAAUAGAGUAUUUGUUCAUGGCA